UCCACCAAUGUCCCUCAUACCAUUGAUUAAAAAAAACCAUAAGUUGGUUUUUCAUUUCAACAACCACCACAAAAUUACAAAUAACAGUACCAUCAACUAUAUUUUUCUCUCCCUCUUUCUUGGGUCCUCCAUUGUCCUUACUUCUUUCAAAGCACCCAACAGCACUAUUCGUGAAUGGGGUUGUCAUUGGACACAACAACAUCAAUGGUGGAUCAAAUCAAGUGAAAAUAUAAUAUGCAUUUUGAAAGCUAAUCCCAUACUUCUUAGACUAAAAAACCACCUAACUGGAUUAUCAUUGGACCAAAAAAUCCUUAAAUUAGCUGAGUUCCAAAGUAGCACAACGAAAUCACAAUGGGUGUAACGCCCCGUACCCGAGACCGUUUCCGGAUUCGAACACGAGGUGUUAACGGACUUAAUUCAUUACUUAAACAGCUCAUACAAUUCAUUUUAAAAUUUCUAGUCAAGCUAGCAAUCUGCGUCACAGUCGCUUAAAAAUUCAUAUCUCGAGUUCUGAAAUGCAAAAUCCAAUUCCGUAAAUUUUUCCUAAAACUAGACUCAUAUAUCUAUUUACUAAUUUUUUUCUAGAAUUUUUUGGUUGGGCCAAUUAGUACAGUUUUUU
rnacentral:lncRNA from 1 species